ACCUCUCUAUCUAAAAAAUAAUUGGCUAAAUUAUAUAAAACUUCUCUGUCAAAACUAGAUUUUUUAUUUUUUCUCUCUGUCAUUUAAAAACCUAUCCUUUGCCCCCUUAUAAAAUAAAAAAAUAUUCGCUUCGCCCCCUGUCGUUAGUAAUCCGGUUCCGUUUAUAAAAUAUUAUUAUAUAUUUUUUAUGUCAAAAAUACCCUCAACCUUCUCUCCUGUGAACAUAGUGAGGGGGCAAAAUAUUCAUUUUGCCAUCACAGUUCACGCCGUAUCUUCCUGUGAAUAUUUUUUAUUUUACAAGGAGGCAAAGUGUAGGUUUUUAAAUGAUAGGGAGAAAAAGUGAAAAAUCUGACUUUGACAUAGAGAUUUUCUGUAAUUUAGCCAAAAUUUAAAGAAAAAAAGAAGUGUAGCAGAGGUGAAUGAAGCACUGAUAAAAGAAAUUUG
rnacentral:lncRNA from 1 species